AACGAACGCUGGCGGCAGGCUUAACACAUGCAAGUCGAACGGUUGUAGCAAUACAGCAGUGGCAGACGGGUGAGUAACACGUGGGAACCUUCCUAGGGGUACGGAACAACUCAGGGAAACUUGAGCUAAUACCGUAUACGUCCGUGAGGAGAAAGAUUUAUCGCCCUUAGACGGGCCCGCGUAGGAUUAGGUAGUUGGUGGGGUAAUGGCCUACCAAGCCUACGAUCCUUAGCUGAUCUGAGAGGANGAUCAGCCACACUGGGACUGAGACACGGCCCAGACUCCUACGGGAGGCAGCAGUGGGGAAUCUUGGACAAUGGGCGCAAGCCUGAUCCAGCCAUGCCGCGUGAGUGAAGAAGGCCCUCGGGUUGUAAAGCUCUUUUACCAGGGACGAUAAUGACGGUACCUGGAGAAUAAGCCCCGGCAAACUACGUGCCAGCCGCCGCCGUAAG
rnacentral:rRNA from 1 species